AACAACUCAACAAAACUCCCAUAACAUGAGGCAACUGAAUAAUUUUCUUCAAAUAUAAGCCAUAAAUAGCAUUUCAAAGUUCCAGUAGCAAUUCCAGAAAAAUAUACUAGACCUCUGGCCAUACAGCUGCAAUUACAAUUUAGUUGAGUACACUAAAUUGCUAAAAAGCAUUUUGCAUGUUCCAUGUUUGAUGACUUGUAACAUGUUUCAAUAUAUCCCUUUCCGGAAGUGUUUAUUGGAGCGAUUCUGCUACGACGAGAAGUGACCAAGAAAUCAUCAAUACAUAGCCUACUCAAAAAUCGUUUGAUUGUUGAGGACUCAUUCUUGUAUGACUAAUCCAACUCUCAAAACUCUUUAACUCUAACUGCAUCGCGAGGAAUGUCAUAAGCUUCUCUUGGCCUUGAUUUCUUUACACCUGCAGUAAACCAAACCUUCUCCGACCUGUAGCCUUCGACAGACACAUUUGUGAUCUUCACCCAUACUAAGACUUUGGUCUUCAUUCCUUCUAUGCCUAUAAGCUUGUCUCUAAGUAGAAUGCAUUUUACCCUCGUAGCAUACCUAAUCAAAGUGCCGUCCUUGAAGGUGAUCUCACAUGGUGACGGAAGGUAAACGGUCAGCUUUGAUUUGGAGUCGUCUAAUUCAAAACUAGUUACGUUCUGAGGGAAAAGGCCAGGUGGGAGAUUGUGUUCUCGUAGAAGAUCUGGCAAACUCUUCAUAGGCGUUCCUGAGUAGGGGAAAAGAAUUUUUCUUAUAAUUCAUUUUGCUCAUUAACAUGAACCAAACCUAUGUUGCUCGGACUCUCAUAAAAUGUUGCCAGGUGCAUGUUGGAUCCUCCAACAGUAUUGCAUUUUUGGAGGAACCGACAUAGGUGCGGCAGCAUUUUGGAGAGUCCGGGCAACAUAGAACCAAACCUACUAUGUACUUGCCCAAACCAAUAUGCCCAUAAGAAAAACUAUGAUACUCAGAUAAGUGACUACAAGACUGCAAAAUGAAUAUGCACCUUUUAACUUGUUAAAGAUCCACUUCGCCUUCUCUUCAACAGUACUUGAGAUGCUCUGCAACAAUAAAUUGAAAAUCGAGUUAAGUGCACUUUGCUGAAGUUAAAAGAGAUCGAGGUUUUGAGUUCAGUGUUAGGACAAUCAGAUGAUAGUACAAUCUCUUUUUGAUGAUACACGCAAGAUUGCUAAUUGAUGGCUGAUAAACAAGCUGAAAUCCAGAGAAAAACGAUCGAGAAUCUGAUUCUGGUUUUUAGCAUGUCAACUGCGUUGAUUUUUCUUUCAAAUGCAAUGCCUACAUCUACACUUAGCCAAGAUGGACAGAUAUGAAAGGAAAAAAGCACCUAAAAAGGAAGUGUCUUCACAUUUUACCUAAGCUGGUAGCCUAAGUGCCUAACCAACAUGAGCAUAUAUUAGAGACCUUGAGAUUGUUGAUCUUUCUUAUUUCCUAUUAGGAAUUUUCCACAAUCGCCGUCAUAAUUCUACAUUUUGAGGAUAAGUACUUAAAAGCGUGAUCGCCCUAUUUACCAUCCUAAAACAUAAGAACAAACUGAAAGUAACUACUUUAACAGCAAGAACAAUUACACCUCAGUCCAGUUGGGAUCGGCUACUAACCAUGUUUCUGGAUAUAAAUGUGACUAAUAUACAACCCAAAAAUCAAAGAAGGCAUAAUUGCAAAGAAGUAAAAAAGGGCAGUCCGGUGCACAAAGCAUCCGGCAUUUCAGGGAAGGGCCGCAACUCUAGGGUGUGAUAUAGACAGUCUGCCCUAAUGCAAACAUUAGUGACCGCUUCCACGGCUCGAACCCAUGAAGGUAACACAAACUUGACUUUAAGUACCUUCCUUUCUCACUUGUAUUUCUUGGUAAAAUUUCUAAAACAAAGUUUAAAAAAAAAAAUAAUAAUAAUAAUAAUACAAAGUAAGCGAAUUGCGGAUGAGAGUGCAACUAGAUCCAUCAAAGUGUUGUGACAAAAUUUCUGGCAGUUGGUCCAUAAAAUGGCUAAAUGCAAAACUUGUAUAAAUAUUAAACUGUCUAAGAACAAAAAGGGAACUGAAGUUAGAACUCUAAGAUGGACUGAUGGAGCAUCUCUUCAUUAGAAAUAAGUUAACACUGUAGCAUAAAAUGGCAAAAUGCAAAACUAGGAUAAACACUUCUCAAUGUGAUGCAUUAGAAUUUCUCAAUUUAAUUGAAGUUUCUCAAUUUAGGCAACCAACACUCAAGAACAUAAGGGGGGCAAAGAAUUAAAUGUUCAAUUAAAAAAUGAGCAAAAGGGGUUCAGUGAAUACAAUUAAAGAAUCAAAAUACUAAAUCAAGAAUGUCCCAAAUGAAGUAAUAACAACCAAAAAUCAAGAAAAGGUGAAAUCUUGAUUUUAAAAAAAAUGAAGAAAUUGGGGAAACAUACAUUGAUAUCUCCAGAGAUAUUGUUAAAUUCUUCUUUAGCUUUCUUGGU
rnacentral:lncRNA from 1 species